ensembl:rRNA 5S_rRNA 5S ribosomal RNA
AUCUACUGCUUUACCACCCUGAACUCACCAGAUCUUGUCUGAUCUUGGAAGCUAAGCAGGAUCGGGCCUGGUUACUACUUGGAUGGGAGACCAUCUGGGAAUACUGGGUGCUGUAGGCU